AUUAUACUCCCUCCGUCCGAAAAUACUUGUCAUCAAAAUGGACAAAAAGGGAUGUAUCUAAAACUAAAAUACAUCUNAAAUACUUGUCAUCAAAAUGGACAAAAAGGGAUGUAUCUAAAACUAAAAUACAUCUAGAUACAUCCCUUUUAUCCAUUUUGAUGACAAGUAUUUCCGGACGGAGGGAGUAUAUA
rnacentral:pre_miRNA from 1 species